UGCAGGCAGCAAACUGUGGGUCAUUUUCGGCAUAUAAUCUCGUGGAGGCAAGACGUUAAACAUAACGCCACAGAACUCUUCAGUGCUGCUGCUCCCGCCAUCAGCCCUCGGGACAUCACCAUCGAGGGGCCGCCCGGUGAUUAUGACGAAAAAGGCAAACACACGCAGACAGGCCGCCCUUGAAUGUGGCAUUGCUGGGUUAUUGCCGCACCGGUGGCCUGGGGCAGCAGUCCUUCACCCGCUUCUUCCGAACGCCGCAUUACACGCAAAGAAUGUCUUGGAAUCAAAUAAUUGUCUUGAUGUUAAUUAGUUUUUUUCAGGAAUUCAUAAAUAAGUAACAGCGAACAUGAUCUGAUUUGUCGUAACUCAGUUGUGUUGGUCUACGGAAAAGAAUAUACAAUGACUUCUUGGUGUGGUUACCUGGAUGGCUGAAGGCUUCCUUGACAUUUUUUUUCUCAACAAAGGAAAGUUCCUAGUGUAUUAAUCUCUUGUGAAUUAUGACAGCUAUGCUUCUAAAAAACAAAAAUAUUAAUGGAUGUCAGGUUAGUUAUUGACAAAUAGGAACAGUUCAGUGCGGUGAGCGAUGGUGCACCUCUGAAGGCCCUCACCUGUUCUCCCUCACCAAUCCUCUCACUGGUAUCCACAGGGAGCCGCGAGGCCGCCUACACGUACUCGGUGACCAGCGCGGGAGUCACCCACAGCGUCACGACCGCCUGCUCCCGUGGCAACAUCUCCACCUUUGGCUGUGACGACCGCAGGCGAGGGCGGUACAGUUCUUCCGGGUGGAAAUGGGGCGGCUGCAGCGCCGACAUUAGGUUCGGGGUCAGGUUCGCGAAGAAGUUCCUGGACGCCUCGAGGUGGAGGGGGACGGCCGCACCCUCAUGAACCUGCACAACAACCGGGCGGGACGCAGGGCGGUGCGGAGCGGGAUGAGGACGGAGUGCAAGUGCCACGGCGUGUCGGGCUCCUGCACCGUCAAGACCUGCUGGAAGACCCUCCCGCCCUUCACCUUCAUCAGGAAGCACCUCGUCCACAAGUACAGGAAGGCAAAGUCCGUC